GGCGGCAGCUAGGGCCCGCCGCGUCUCCCGCGGGCUCAGCAGGUUCCGCGGGAAGGAGAGGAUCCUGCAGGGAGAGUGAGCUCAGCGGGCGCCGGCCGCGCCCCCUCCCCCGGGGCCCAGCCAGGGCGCACCUGUAGGCAGCUGAGCUGGGCCGCAGGAGACGCGUCGCUCGCCUGACAGUGUCCCCGAGAGCUGGGAGGGGAUGGCCGGAUGGGGACGUGGCAGGCGGGGGCACGCGAAGGCAGCUCGGGCGCGGCGGACGGCGCGGCUCACACGAAGAUCUGGAUGCGGUCGCGGAUGGGCUGGCGGCAGAUGGGGCAGGCGCUGAGCGCGGAGCCGCAGGGGGCGCAUGCGCCGUGGCCGCACUGGAACACGAGGCGGAUGUGGCUGUCGAUGCAGAUGGGGCAGGUGAUGCGUUCCUCCAUCUGCCGGUAGCGGCUCUGCAGCUCCUCCACCAGCUGGCGCGGCGGGCCGGGGGCGGGGGCGGCGCUCGCCACCUCAGAGCCGUCUGCGGGGUGGGGGACGGGUGUGAGCUGGGAGGCCGGGUGGGGGAAUGCGGGGAGCAGGGAGCUGCGGGGGGGCGAGGCUGGGGGCGGGGUGUCACCUGGGACGGGUUGUGACCUGCAAGGGGGGCUGGCGGGGUGGGUGAUUUGGAGGCAGAGGUGGGGCCCGGGUGCGGGCAGGAGGUGAGCCGUGGAAAUCAGGCAUAAGGUGGUGUGCGGGCUGGAGUCAGGGCUGCAGGUGGGCUGUGAGCUGGGCCGGGGUGUGAUGGGGGGGCGGUGCUCUGGGUGGGCUGUGAUCUGGGGUGGGGCUAUGGAGGGAGUGUGAUCUGGGAGGGGCCGUGAAAUCCAGCGGGGCUGGGGUGUGAUGGGGGAGGAGGGUGUUACCUUGAGGCGGGGCUGUGGGCCGGGUGUGAUCUGGAGCAGGCGGGGCUGGGGGCUGGGGGCUGGGGGGCCGGGUGUGAGCCUUGGGAGGGCGGGGUGUAACCUGGGGAAGGGCCAUGGGCGGAAGUGUGGGAGGGAAGGGGUGGGGGACGGGGACCCGCGGGCCACCAGCUGAGCAGGAGGCGUGUUGGGGGCGCAGAGCCUCACCCACCUGGGCGCAGUUUCUUGCUGACGACCACCUGGCACCUGAUGCACUUCUUCAUCCUGCGCGCGCACUCUGCGAAGAGGAGAGCGCGGUUGGCUGCGGCCCUACUAGCCGGGCCUCCCCACCCCGGGGCCCCCCACUCACCCUCACACACGGUGCGGUGCUGGCACGGCGAGAACAGCACCAGCAGCGCCAGCUCGGAGCACACCAGGCACUCAGCGGCCUCGGGCCCCGGCGCGGCGCCCACGUGCAGGUUCGUCACGGUGUUGGGGGUCCCGAGCGUUUGCCUGGGGCCCGGGGCCGCGCCCCCGCCCGCCUGCCGCUCCCUGCAGGGGGAGGAGGCGGCUUGAGAGGGGCCCGGAGGCCGCCGGACCCCAUCCCCGCCGUCCACGGACUCACCGGAAGCGCUGGGCGCAGCCCUGAAGGGCCUUGAGCACGCGACCCUCGGCGGCCAGGUCCAGCGGGCUCCGACCGCGGUGGUUGGUGUAGCUCACGUCGGCGCCCUCCAGCGCCAGGAAGCAGGCGACCGCCGCGCCCACCGUCAGCUCCGCGCUGCCGGGGAGGCCCGAGGCCUGUAGCUGGGCGGCAGGACAGACGCCGGUGAGGGCGGGCGCCGGGGCAGGCCCGAGGGAGGCGUCUCCUGGCACCUGGCAGCCCCAGCAGCCGGCGCCCCAUGUCUAAAAUACAAGGCAAGGGCACCUCUUCCGGAACCCAAGUGGGACAGGCAGGAGGGGCGCCCUGCUAGGUGAGCUCUGAGACCCUAAGCUCCACCUCUCCCCAUCCCAUGGGCACCACCCCUUUCCCAGGCUGCCUAGGGGUGCAGGCUGAAGGAUCACAUAGAACUUGGCUCCCAUCUGCUCCACCCCCAGAACGCCUGGCUCCCUGGGCCAUCACUGGAGGGGAAGGUGGACAGUGGCACAGGCCCUGCCCAGAGCCUGCUGCCGGCGCCACCGCAGCCUCUCCAGCACCCCACGCCACACUUCCUCACCCUGGACAGCAGCUGCAAGGGCCCUGGGUCCCCCCCGGCCCCAUCAGCCACCAGGGGCAGCAGCUGAUGACGCUGCAGCGCCACGUGCAGGGCUGUGUCCCCCUCCUCGUCCUCGGCGUUGACACUGCACCCAGCGUCCACCAGUAGCGGCACCAGCCCCACGUGGGCCUGUUGCACGGCGAGAUGCAGCGGGGACUGCAGCUUCCGGUUGCGCACGUUCACGUCACAGCGGCCCUGGGGAGGGGUGGGGACGGGCUCAGCCCAGGGACCCCAGUGGGCCUCCCGCUCCCCGGUCCUUGGGCAGGACUGGGCCGCGUCCGCACCUCCCGGAUGAGGAUCUGGGCCACCUCGCGGUGGUUGUUGAGGGCAGCCAGAUGCAGCGCCGUGAAGCCGUCCUCCUUCUUGGCGUCCACCAGCUGCCGCGCCCGAGCCAGAAUCUUUCUCACAGCUCUGUGGAGCAGGGAGGUUGGUCUGGGACCUGGGACUGCCCCCAGGCAGCACAGCAAGAGGCCGGCUGCAGCUGUGUGCCCACCCCACACUCACAGCGCGUGACCCUUGAGGGAGGCAUGGUGCAGCAGGGUGAAACCCUGGCUGUUGGUGGCGGUAACAUCGAUGUUUGGCACCUCCGUGAGGACCUCGACAAUGCCGCUGGCUCCAGUGCCCGCCGAGAUGGCGGAGUGCAGGGGCGUGUCCGAGUGGGCGUCCUGCUGGGGCGGAGUCAGUGGUCACCUGGGGGUGACUUCUGCUUGGGUCAAGAGCCAGGGCACCCAGGGAGCAGCACUCACGGGCAGGGGGCACCCAGGCCAGGGAGCAGCACACAUGGGCAGAGGGAACCCAGGCCAGGGACAAGCACUCACGGGCAGGGGGCACCCAGGCCAGGGAGCAGCACUCACGGGCAGGUUGACGUCACAGCCGCGCUCACACAGGGCCCGCACCACCUCCAGGAAGCCCCUCUGCACGGCCACGUGCAGUGCUGUGCUCUGGGUGCUGUUGAUGGCGUCCGCCCGGCACCCAGCACUCAGGAGCACCCUGGUGGCCUCGGGCUGGUUCCUGACAGGAGAGGAAGUGGGAGAGGGAGGGCGCCGGGCCCGGUGGCUGGACGCACAGGCUCAGCCCCGCCAGGCCCGACCCCAGGACGCACAGGCUCAGCCCCGCCGGGCCCCUCCCAGGCCUCACCCCAGGACGCACAGGCUCAGCCCCGCCGGCCGGGCCCCUCCCAGGCCUCACCCCAGGACGCACAGGCUCAGCCCCGCCGGCCGGGCCCCUCCCAGGCCUCACCCCAGGGCCGCGUAGUGCAGUGCCGUGUUGCCCUCGUCGUCCGGCAGGUCCACGCCCGCCCUGGCUUGUAGCAGCAGCCGUAUCAACUCCACCUGGCCCAGGUAGGCAGCCACUUGCAGAGCGGUCCUGCCUUGGUUCUUGGUGUCCACCUGCCAAGAGUGCCAGCAGGUGAGUCCCUGGCCCUCUGCCCCUCACUCUCAGACUGGCCAGUAUGGGAGGACGGGGUCAGGAGCUUGCCUGCUCUGGGCGCCUCCGCAGCAGGUCCAGAGCCCGGGCUGCGUUACCCAGCGCCACCUCCACCACCAGCCUUCCCGGGUGCUCUGGGUCACUCUUCUGGGCCCGAAGCUUGUCCAGGGCCACGCUCAGUGAGCCUGGGGGCAGGGCUGAGGUUAGUGGUGGCCAGGGGCAGCCCCACCUCCCACUGGCCGCCUGAGCUGUGCCGCACUUUUGUUCUCCCGGGCGCGCUCGGCCACGUCCAGGUUGGCAUCCUCCUCGGGCCGGUAGGCCACCAGGCAGGAGGGGCUGAAGGUCCACCGCUGACCAGCGACUGCUACACGCAGGUUCCCGUCUCCAAACACUUUCACCACCUUCCCGACGCGGCCCAGGGCCUGCGGGGAGGGGAGGGGGUCACAGCAGGCUGCAGGUGUGGGGGGCAGCGGCGCUAGCGGCGGGGGUGGCAGGGGGACUCACAGGGGCCAUGUCGUCCGUCCACUCGCCAUGCCCAGCCUGCAGCCGCUUCACUGUGUCAAGGUCGCCGAUGACCCGGACCACGUCGCCCACCCAGAAGGAGUGGUGCUGAGCGACAAAGAGGGGCGUGAGGGGCCCCCCAGCUGUGUGUGGCUGCCCAGGCUCAUGCAACAGGAGGGCAACCUGCUGAGCUCCACGAGACAGGCAGGCCUGACUCGGCCCCGGCCCCGACCCCGACCCCAGGCACUGCCAGAGGCUCUGGCUGGACGAGAGCCCCAGGUGUCCAAGGCAGCCCUGGGUGUCCCUAGCCCCAGAGCCAUGGGAGGAGUGUCCAGGCAGACAGAAGCCAGCUCUGGGCAGGUGUGAAGCCGAGGUGGCUGGCCCUGGGAAGCUGUACGCUGACCAGCAGCAGGCAACAUGGCCAGGGCCCGUGAGCCAGCGUGGGGGUGGGGCCCCAGGACCAUGGGGUGCAGGACGGGCCCACUCUGCCCCACCUGAGCCCUCAUAUGCAGGGAACUCACUCUACAAGCCCGUCUCAUGACUCCCUUCGGCGCCUCCUCAAAGGUGCCUGGUAUCCAGGACCCCAGAUCCAGAGCUGAGCUCUGACGCUUUGCCCCGGGCCUGCCCCUCCCAGGGCCAUCCAAGCUGCCACCGCCACCACCUCCAGCCCCCUCCCUGCCAUCCUGCUUCCCAGGCAGCCCUCACUACCUCCCCCACCACUCUAGGCCAAGCAUCCACCUCCCUGUCCUAACCAGCCACCCCCAUCGGCCCCCAUACAGCACUAACCAGGAGCAUCUUAGCCCAGCCGCCUCCCUCCCGCCCACGAAGCUGUCCUGCCUUCCUGGUGUCCUGGAACAGAGGGAGGCCCUAACCUGCCCAUUCCAGCUCCCAGAGACAUACCCUCCUCUGGGUUCCUUCACACCCAACCCCCUCUUCUCCUUGACCCCACCCACCUCCACCCACCAGUCCCUCCCCUUCCUUCAGGGCUGGGGACUCGUGGGUGCAGCUGGCACCCUAGUCCUGCCUGACCCCCCAAGGCCAAGGGGGUACGUGGAAGGGGUUACAGAAGCAAGCAGAUGAGGCGCAGCCCAGCCCCCCCGGCACCUUGGACAUCAGUGUCCAGCAGACACUUGACCUUGUCCCCGUGCUGGAAGGGCUGGCUGUCAGCACUCACCCUGCGCUGCAGCUCCGCCGGCUUGCCUGCGGAGGGUGGCAGACCAGGCCUCAGGCAGCGGCCCCUCCCCUCUGGGACUUCAGCCAAGGCAGGAGGGCUGAUGGAGUCAGUGUGACAGCCUCAUACCGAGCCUUGGGAGGUGGUCCUUGUAGUAGAAGCCGCCCGCUGCCUCGCCCACACACUUGAGGUCCACCUUGCCCUUGUGGCCCACACGGUACACAUUGGUGGUACCAUCAGCCCACGUCACGCUGGCCACACUCCGGCCUGUCUCCACAUCCCAGCCACGGAUGUCCACCACACGGCCCGGUUUCCCUUCCCCUCCUGGGGAAAGAGGCCCCCCCAGCAGGCUAAGGCUGAGCCAUGAGCCAGCCACAGCCCAGCCCUGACCCCGCCCCUCUGCCUCCACUCACCAUCCUGUGAGCCCCACUCCCAGUCGGGGCCUCGCACCACCUUCGCUCCCUGGAAGAUGCCCCUUAGUGGGAUCCUCGGGAGGCCCUGGCGGGGACUCAGUGUGACACUGCAAGAGGGUUCACAAAUAAAGCUCUCAGAAGAAAACCGCCAUCUCUUCCCAUCUUGAGCCACUUGGGAGAGCGAUGCAGUGGAGCAGGCCCCCUGUCCACCCAGCCUGCUGGGCUCCGCAGCCCCAGCUCUUGCCCGGGAAUGGCCGGUCCAGCAGGUCAGCAUCCUCCACACGCUGUGAGGAAAUGCCCCUGGGCUCAGGGGCCUGGAGCGAACCUGCGGACCACGUUCCUCCAGGGACUUCCCUGAUGCCAGGCUGGGAAGGCACCCGGGCCCACCCUCGGCAAGACCUCUGGGUGCGGUCGCUUCAUGCCUGCUGCCUCCCAGUGAGCUGGGGCACAGCCAGGCCCAGAGGUGGGCUCAGCAUGUGGGAAGGGAGGAAUGAGGAAAGCAGGCCUGGCCAACAGCACUCCCAAGACAACCACACCUCCCUCCACGUGCAGGGAGGGCCAGAGACAAAGGUGACAAAUGCAGGGGACGGGGUGGCACCUCUGGCUGUCCUUGCCCCAAGCAGGCUAGAUUCUCCCCGAGCUGAUGCCCUCGGACCAGAGCGCAGCAGCCUCCAAGACAGCCCAGGUGCUGGCUCCGGGUAUGGGCUGUCCUCCUGGAGGUCUCAUGCCGCCCUGGGGGAUGCUGGCUGCCUGAUGGCCACUGCUGCCUGUAGAGCCACCCAGAGGCCACCCUCUGUGCCCUGCCCAUGGCACCACUGCUUAAGGCCACGGCUCUGGAGAGACUUGCUCCGUCUUCCUGGGAGCGGUCAGGAGGCAGCACCCUCCCCGAAGGCCAAGGCCCCAGUGGCAAGGCCUGGGUACCCGCCGCACAGGAGCCGGUGCGGCCCGGGACUCACGGGCGCGAGUGAGCGGUCUCGUAGCGGUCGAAGGCGUGGGCGAGCUCAUGCUUGUUGUGCAUGUAGCACUGCGUGCAGAGGUCGUAGUCCAGGCACACACGGCACUUCCAGCGCAUCCCCCGCAGCCCGUGCUUCUUGCAGCAGUCACAGAUGAUGUUGGGGUGCCGGACGCCUGGGGGUGGGGUGGGGUCAGAGGGGCGUUCCCGCCCCCGGGUCCUGCCCGUCCCGCCUGCCCUUGGCGCGCACCGAUCUGGGCGUUGUCGUACAGCAGCAGGUCGUGCGCGCCCUGGUAGCCGGCGCGGUAGUUGGUGCGCGUGCCCUGGUCCCACUGCACGACCACUGUGCGGUCGGGUGUCGAGGGGCUGCCGUGGCGGCCAAGCUCCACCACCGUGCCCACGCCGCCCUCGCCGCCGUCCUGCUGGCCCCACUUCCAGUCCACGCCGCGCACCACCCGCAUGCCCACCUGCACGCCCGCCUGGGGGUCUGGGUCCAUGUUGGGCGGGGCUGCUCGGGACCUGUCCGGCCGUCCAGUCGCCCGCCGGGCCGCCUUGAGGCUCCUGGGCUGCAGCCCUGAUGCCUGGAAACUUUGGGACUGGCCUCUAGCCUCGCUGGGCUUCCAACCCUGUGGCCGAGGGGAGAUGCCAAGAUGCACAGUUAGCACCUCGACCCGCGGCUCGGUCGCCUGUCUGCCCCCGGGGCUGCCCGCCGGCUCCAGGUCCACUCGGGCCCACGGCCGCGACACUCAGGG
rnacentral:lncRNA from 1 species